GACGAACGCUGGCGGCGUGCUUAACACAUGCAAGUCGAACGGUAAGGCCCUUCGGGGUACACGAGUGGCGAACGGGUGAGUAACACGUGGGUGAUCUGCCCUGCACUUCGGGAUAAGCCUGGGAAACUGGGUCUAAUACCGGAUAGGACCCUGGGAUGCAUGUCCUGGGGUGGAAAGCUUUUGCGGUGUGGGAUGGGCCCGCGGCCUAUCUGCUUGUUGGUGGGGUGAUGGCCUACCAAGGCGACGACGGGUAGCCGGCCUGAGAGGGUGAGCGGCCACGCUGGGACUGAGAUACCGCCCAGACUCCUACGGGAGGCAGCAGUGGGGAAUAUUGCACAAUGGGCGCAAGCCUGAUGCAGCGACGCCGCAUGAGGGAUGACAGCCUUCGGGUCGUAAACCUCUUUCAGCACCGACGAAGCGCAAGUGACGGUAGGUGCAGAAGAAGGACCGGCCAACUACGUGCCAGCAGCCGCGGUAA
rnacentral:rRNA from 1 species